UGGAGGGCUCUCACUUUACAGUGGGACCCA
rnacentral:snRNA from 1 species